rnacentral:rRNA from 1 species
AGGCAGCAGUGGGGAAUAUUGCACAAUGGGCGCAAGCCUGAUGCAGCGACGCCGCGUGAGGGAUGACGGCCUUCGGGUUGUAAACCUCUUUCAGUAGGGAAGAAGCGAGAGUGACGGUACCUGCAGAAGAAGCACCGGCUAACUACGUGCCAGCAGCCGCGGUAAUACGUAGGGGUGCGAGCGUUAUCCGGAAUUAUUUGGGGCGUAAAAGAGCUCGUAGGCGGUUUUUGUCGCGUCUGUCGUGAAAAGUCCCGGGGGGCUUUAAACCCCCCGGGAUCUGCGGGUGGGGUACGGGGCAGACUAGAGUGCAGUAGGGGGGAGACUGGAAUUCCUGGUGUAGCGGUGGAAUGCGCAGAUAUCAGGAGGAACACCGAUGGCGAAGGCAGGUCUCUGGGCUGUAACUGACGUGAGGAGCGAAAGCAUGGGGGAGCGAACAGGAUUAGAUACCCUGGUAGUCCAUGCCGUAAACGUUGGGCACUAGGUGUGGGGACCAUUCCACGGUUUCCGCGCCGCAGCUAACGCAUUAAGUGCCCCGCCUGGGGAGUACGGCCGCAAGGCUAAAAACUCAAAGGAAUUGACGGGG